rnacentral:rRNA from 1 species
AACGAACGCUGGCGGCAUGCCUAACACAUGCAAGUCGAACGAGACCUUCGGGGCUAGUGUCGCACGGGUGCGUAACGCGUGGGAACCUUCCCUUAGGUUCGGAAUAACUCCCGAAAGGGGUGCUAAUACCGGAUAAUGUCUUCGGACCAAAGAUUUAUCGCCUUUGGAUGGGCCCGCGUUGGAUUAGCUAGUUGGUAGGGUAAAAGCCUACCAAGGCGACGAUCCAUAGCUGGUCUGAGAGGAUGAUCAGCCACACUGGGACUGAGACACGGCCCAGACUCCUACGGGAGGCAGCAGUGGGGAAUAUUGGACAAUAGGCGAACGCCUGAUCAAGCAAUGCAGCGUGAGUGAUGAAGGCCUUAGGGUUGUAAAGCUCUUUUAACCGGGAUGAUAAUGACAGUACCGGGAGAAUAAGCUCCGGCUAAAUCCGUG